UUUUAUCCUGAAGUACCUUAAUAAAAAAGAUUUACCAGAAACGUUGAUUUAUAUCAAUCACUUUAUUAUUUUUACAAAAUUUUAAUUUUAUUGCAUCAGUAGUUUAGUUAUAUGUAUACAAGAUACAAUUAACCAGGUUUUUCUAUAAUACAAUAUGUAUAUUGAUAUCACCUUCAUCUCGGGUUUUAACUAAAUGCCGCGUCAGAAUAGGUACGUUGGUUCCGUAGCAGAAAUGUAUACAACUGACAACGGGCUUGAAUAUAUAUAUAUUUACUUAUAUGGAGGGCAACAGAUUGACAAUGGAUCCUGUACCGGAGGAGCAACCGAUAGACCAACUCUCAACUUUUGCAUACGGCAAUAUAUUCAAUUGACAUUUGACAUUGUUUAUAUUGUUAGAGCUUAUUGGGAAAACACACUCUGGUCCCGUCGAAAAUGGAGAGCCAUGCUCGAAAGCCCUGAUAUUAGUUAUAUGAGCUCUGAGCCAUGUUUUCGCCCAAUUUUAUUAAUUUUAAGAACAAAGA